GGAAAUCCAAAGCAGCUGUGAUAGUUACAGGGAACACACCCUGCAGUGCACAGUGGCUGCAGCUGGAGAAGCCAGAGAGGUUGCCAUCGCUUACAUACAAGCAGAGGGGAGAUGCAUAAUUUGUCAUAUUCCAAGCAGAUCUACACCCUGGCUGCUCAGCAGUGCCUGUGCUUCCCAGCCUUUCCAAAACCAACGCUACCCAGCCCUGUGCUCUCCGUGUGGUGCUGCCCAAGUUAAACAACAUCAGCUGUGCGGUGUCUGGCAGUAGUAACAGGGAGGGAACACUUAAGUACAUAAACAAAAGGCAGAACUCCACUGACCAAUGACUCCUAUCAGAACCAUGAAAACGGAUCACGGUGCCCUCAGCACUGCGGCAGGCCUGGACCCGGGAAUAAAUGCUCCUCGUUAACUAAUUCUCCAAUGGAAAGAGAGGGCGUCCCACUACUAAAUGAAACAUCUUUUAUUCAGGAGCAUCAUAAUUUUAACUUCACAAAUCAUGACAGGAAGGCAAAUAAGAAGAGACUGCCAGAGCAUCUUUUAAACUGGUGAAGGUAAACAUUUUCUUUCUGAACGCUUCUAAUUCGAGAAAGAAGUUGCGUAGGCCUUCCACAGGUGUGCACUACAGAAAUCUGAAGUACAUGCACUACAUUACAAUGCCGAGUGUAUACGUUGGCUACUUCAAAGGGAAAAUAAUCACUUGCAAGUCCAGGACGGCUAUCGGAACACCCUACAAAAUAAGGCUUAGGAGUACUUAGUUUUCAGUCCUGUGAAAUGUAACUAUAACUAAAUAUAACUAAAAUGUAAAUACAUAACUAUCAGAAAAAUAAAAUGACACCUCUGAAUGUCGUUCUGAAAUCUCUUGCUGAUGGGAUCUUAAAUAAGAGACUGUUUAAUGUUUGUCUCUCCCAAGUUACUUUGGAAAAGAAGCAGUGGUGAUGGUAUCUGGGGACUCAGCAUCAGCACAGACAUUUAUCAGAGCACAAGUGGAAUGGUCUCAGUAUGCACAACCAACCAACCAAC
ensembl:lncRNA